rnacentral:rRNA from 1 species
AACGUAGGUGGCAAGCGUUAUCCGGAUUUACUGGGCGUAAAGCGUGUGCAGACGGCGUGUCAAGUGGUGUAUGAAAUCGCUCGGCUCAACCGGGCGGGGUUAUGCCAGACUGGCAGGCUAGAGGGUGCGAGAGGGACGUGGAAUUCCGGGUGUAGUGGUGAAAUGCGUAGAGAUCCGGAGGAACCCAGAGGCGAAGGCGGCGCCCUGGCUCGCCACUGACCGCUCAGACACGACAGCAUGGGAGCGAACGGG